rnacentral:rRNA from 1 species
UACAGAGGCCUCGAGCGUUAGGCGGAAUCACUGGGCUUAAAGCGUGUGUAGGCGGAUCUGUAAGUACUUUGUGAAAUCCCACGGCUCAACCGUGGAACUGCUUGGUAUACUGCGGGUCUUGAGCCACCUAGGGGCAAGUGGAACAAACGGUGGAGCGGUGAAAUGCGUAGAUAUCGUUUGGAACGCCAAUGGUGAAAACAACUUGCUGGGGGUGUGCUGACGCUGAGACACGAAAGCCAGGGGAGCAAACGGG